AAACUGGGUACGGUUGUGCCAGGGUACGGUAGUGACAGUCGCAAUUGUAACGAAACUAUACGUAAUACGGGGGAGGGGUGUGAGGGAGAAAGACGUGGCUCACAAGCCUAAACACGUUCCCCAAUAUUGCGUUAGCCGGCGCAGGACGUUGACGUAAGCAGGAGCCCACAUUGCUUUUCAACAAUCAAAAAUGUCCAGAAUACGUUUGUGGAAGACCGGAGAGAGCAGUAUGAUGUAAAAAAAUAUAAAGAUGCCGAUGAAGAAGCGAAACAAGGGAUUUCGUAAGUGUAGCACAAGCUACAAGCCUUUCUACAGCUACAAGUUUUAACAGAGUAAAUGUUGUUUUGUUGAUUGUUAAAACUAUGUUUGUAAGCUUAUUAGGUUAAACAUUUCUACAAUAAAAGAUAUUAUAGACCA
rnacentral:lncRNA from 1 species